AUUGAACGCUGGCGGCAGGCCUAACACAUGCAAGUCGAACGAGUGGCGGACGGGUGAGUAAUGUCUGGGAAACUGUCCGAUGGAGGGGGAUAACUACUGGAAACGGUAGCUAAUAUCGCACACCAUCGGAUGUGCCCCGAUGGGAUUAGCUUGUAGGUGGGGUAACGGCUCACCUAGGCGACGAUCCCUAGCUGGUUUGAGAGGAUGAUCAGCAAAACUGGGACUGAGACACGGUCCAGACGCCGACGGGAGGCAUCAGUGGGGAAUAUUGCGCAAUGGGCGGGAGCCUGAGGCAGCCAUGCCGCGUGUAUGAAGAAGGCCUUCGGGUUGUAAAGUACUUUCAGCGGGGAGGCGUUACCCGCAGAAGAAGCACCGGCUAACUCCGUGCCAGCAGCCGCGGUAAUUC
rnacentral:rRNA from 1 species